ensembl:processed_transcript
GUGGAGUAAUACACAAAGGGUAAAGAAGCUGUAAGAGUUCUGAUAUUGCAGAAUAUUGCACGGCUAUCAGCCAAUCAGAUUCGAGAACCAGACAGAACUGUUGUAUAAAAUGUAAUAUAUUGGAGUACAUGGGCGACGUGGUGGCGCAGUAUGUAGUGCUGACGCCUCACAGCAAGAAGGUCAGUGGUUUGGGCCUCGGCUGAGGCAUUUCUGUGUGGAGUUUACAAGGCCUACAAGUCUCUAGAUGCCUACAAUGUUAUUCUGUGUGAUCGUGUGCAAGAAAUAACAUUCCAUGAUUACCAGAUUCAAAACCAGUAGUGCUAAAAACUGAGGUUCUGUCUAUAAAGGCAAAGAAAGAAAACGGAACUGUACAAGGCCUGGGUAAUCAUCACCAAGCAAAACAACUGCAUUCUGACAGCGAACUAGACCUGUACAGCAAGCUUUCGUCCUUCCCAUGACACCUUCUCCGUCUCAUCUGGAUAACUAUUAAUAUGACAAAAGAGCUGUCGAGGCUGAAUACACAGACAGGCCAGGAGGAGAAUAAAUGCGUCUGCGGGCGGGUGAGAAAAAAGCCUCCGGUGAUGAGACCCCAUGAUGGACAGAGUGGUAAUUGUGCGCCGGACCGGAUGCGUGUGAUGAAGGCUUUUUUUUCCUCUGGAUCCCGCCCGAUGUUUACCCUCCUCUGAGCUUGCUUUGCCUGUCGAUCGGAGUGGGGUAGAUAUUGCGUGUCAAGUGCUCUCCUGGGCUAAACUAUCAUUUCCAAGUGUUAUCACACAAUCCUGACUCCCAGGGGCCUCUCGGCUGGCAGGAGCUCCAGACUUUGUCCGGGCUCAGCAGAUGCUGCGCGACAGUGGCAUCCCAGCAAGGGCACUGAGGAUGCAAAUGAGGGCAGGCUGUGCAGGUAACACUCCAAUAAAGCAAAUGAUUAAUCAGGCUUUGUAUGUUUGAGGCAAUUAAAAA